AGUAGAAUUCAGCUUAAAUUUGACUAGCAAGAAAGAAGUGAACCUGCCAAAGAAAAUUCUGCUCCCAGCAACAUUACAGAAUAAACCUUGAGUCAGCAAAACAAUACUCAAAAAAUGCUUGGAACUUCAGAAUCGAAUAAGUAAAAACUACUGCCGCCUGCC
rnacentral:lncRNA from 1 species